GGUGAACGCUGGCGGCGUGCCUAAUACAUGCAAGUCGAGCGAACGGACGAGAAGCUUGCUUCUCUGAUGUUAGCGGCGGACGGGUGAGUAACACGUGGAUAACCUACCUAUAAGACUGGGAUAACUUCGGGAAACCGGAGCUAAUACCGGAUAAUAUUUUGAACCGCAUGGUUCAAAAGUGAAAGACGGUCUUGCUGUCACUUAUAGAUGGAUCCGCGCUGCAUUAGCUAGUUGGUAAGGUAACGGCUUACCAAGGCAACGAUGCAUAGCCGACCUGAGAGGGUGAUCGGCCACACUGGAACUGAGACACGGUCCAGACUCCUACGGGAGGCAGCAGUAGGGAAUCUUCCGCAAUGGGCGAAAGCCUGACGGAGCAACGCCGCGGGAGUGAUGAAGGUCUUCGGAUCGUAAAACUCUGUUAUUAGGGAAGAACAUAUGUGUAAGUAACUGUGCACAUCUUGACGGUACCUAAGCAGAAAGCCACGGCUAACUACGG
rnacentral:rRNA from 1 species